GCCCCCGUAGCUCAGUGGACAGAGCGGCUGCCUUCUAAGCAGCGGGUCGGAGGUUCGAUCCCUCCCGGGGGCG
rnacentral:tRNA from 1 species